UAAUGGGAUCCAAGAACAAUGUAAUCAGGUUGUGCUGGCUAUUAUUUGGAUGUAAUUUCAUAUCUCAAUAUUAACCUUGCAGAUUUGUUGAUUGUUUUUGGAGUGGAGGUUGCCAACUGAUAGAUAAUUUGCUGGGUUUGUGGUUUUGUUUAUAGAAUUGCAGUUUGUGAUUUUAUUUACAAAAUUGUUUUGGGGUGGUUUUGUAAGGGAGCUAUGUUGUAAUGUCUUGUGUUUUCUUUAUAUAUAUAUACAUGUAAUUAUGGUAUGUAUAUAUAUUUGUGUGUGUGGUGAGAAUUUAAGACAAAAGAAAAAAAUAAAAUAAAAAUAAAAAAGAGCAAAGAAAGGGAAAAAGGGUGGGACCCACGCCCCUUUUAAGUGGUUGUAAGACCACAUUUGGCCUUGGUUUUUCCAUCUGCUCUCUCUCUCUCUCCCGGCUUUGUCUCGCUGCUUCUCUUUUCUUUCUUUUUUUCUUCUACUCAAAUUAAGCUUGAUUAAUCCCUCAUCUCUUAGUCUUUUUAACAGCCAUUUGUGGCUAUUCAAAGCCCACGACGAGAUCAACACGUUGAUAGGAGCAAUUCCUUGAUAUGUGCACUAUAGGAGAUUCGAAAUUCUAGGUUUUGAGGUGAAGAAAUUAGGGGUUUUGCAUAUAAUUGAGGAAACGGGAAAGAAGUGGCGGAUGACGUACCACCACAGGCUUAAUUUGGAUUAGAAGAUUAUUUUGCUAUUUUUGUAUCUAAGUCCUAUAUUUUUUUAAAACCUUAUUUUUUUAUAUUUAGUAUAGAGAUUUGUGAACUCUUGCUAUUAUAGUUAUAUUUAUGGACUUUAAUUAUGAUAAUUUGGAUUAAAUGGUAUGUGGAUGUUCCACCAUGAGAUGAAUCAUGUUGAGGCAUAAUGAACAGGUGAAUGGGAUGCUGGAUAUAUUAUUUGUAUUGUGUGUUGGGACAGGUUGGAUAGGUCUUGAAAGACCAUUGCAACUUUUUUUUAUUUGAGCAGGUUGUGGUAGGCCCCUUUUUAGGGAAGGUCAUGUCGAAUUUUUUUUUAUAUAAAUGGGAUCAGCUUAGGGUCGUUACAAAUUUGGUAUCAGAGUCUUGGUUCGAAAACCAUUAGGACAACGGGUAGAGGCCUACAUAGAGGUUGCAUGGGAAGUCAUUCGCAUAGUUUAUGUGAUUAAUUGGUAAAAUGUUUUGCUAUGUGCAAAAGUAUGCUUAACUGUUUACUUGUUUACAUGCUUACGUGCUUAUAUGCUUAUAUUAAUGUAUUCAUUGCCUAGUAUUGCAUGCUAAGUGUUAGUAUAACAUUCUUUUAUGUUUAGUUGUUCACAGUUCAUUUGUGGUAUCGGAUUAAUGAUGUGGCAUGGUGGUUAUAUUUUUUCUCGACAUGGAAACGGGAAAGAAGUGACGGAUGACGUACCACCACAAGCUUAAUUUGGAUUAGAAGAUUAUUUUGCUAUUUUUGUAUCUAAGUCCCAUAUUUUUGUAAAACCUUAUUUUGUCAUAUUUAGUAUAGAGAUUUGUGAACUCUUGCUAUUAUAGUUAUAUUCAUGAACUUUAAUUAUGAUAAUUUGGAUUAAAUGGUAUAUGGAUGUUCCACCAUUAGAUGAAUCAUGUUGAGGCAUAAUGAACUGAUGAAUGGGAUGCUGGGAUAUAUUAUUUGUAUUGUGUGUUGGGACAGAUUGGAUAGGUCUUGAAAGACCAUUGCAUCUUUUUUUUAUUUGAGCAGGUUGUGGUAGGCCCCUUUUUAGGGGAGGUCAUGUCGAAUCUUUUUUUUUUUAAAUGGGAUCAGCUUAGGGUCAUUACAUAUGUGUUGACAGAUCAAAUUUGAUAGAAGUUGUUUUUAGUUUUUGAAAUCCCAUAUGAAGGCUUGAAGAUUGUGAAUCUUUAGAGUUACCUGAUGAGGUGGUUCUAGUUGGCAUGAAGUUUCAUGGAGUAUGUUUUUCUGGAAUUUAGUUAUGUAGUGCUCUGUGUUGUUUUCAGUUGCUAGAUUUUCUUAGCCUAAGGAGGAUAAUCUAGUUUUGGUGGAAAAUGAGCUUGUUCACUUUUUGCUUUGUAUUGGAGUUCAUCCUCCUGUUGUAAUUGUAUUAUCUUGAAAAAUAUUUAUAAAAAAAUAAAAAUAAAAAUAAAAAAUAACCAUUCAGGAUACGGGCCUUUUCCUUUUAAUGAAUUGAUUUACCAAAAAAAAAAACUAUUAAUACGGGCCUUUUCCUCGUAAAAAAUAGACCUUUUGUUACAAUAGAAGCAGAAGUGAUGUAAAUUAUGCAAGAAUCAAAGUCGAUUUGCUUUAUAAAAAUACGAUAUCAAUGAACUUAUAAAAAACAGUUUCACGGGAUGCACCUCAAAAACCUUGUCCGAUUAAGCACCACCAUAAGACCUAUUUGAAGCCUCAUUAAAUGAAGUAUCAUAAGUAAAAAAAAUUGUAAUUUAUGGAACCCGUUACAUUAUCA